CUUUCCCCUAGAGGCCUGGCUGGUGUGGCUGCUGUGUCCCAUGCCCAUCAGUAGGGGGCAGAGAGGAGAAAGUUUAUAGCUAAACUCAGUGUUCUGACCUAUAAACAUCUGAAUGAUUAGUCAUCUAACAUU